UGAAUUAAGAUCCAAUACCAA
rnacentral:piRNA from 1 species